UACGGGGGGGGCAAGCGUUGUUCGGAAUUACUGGGCGUAAAGGGUUCGUAGGCGGCCAACUAAGUCAGACGUGAAAUCCCUCAGCUUAACUGGGGAACUGCGUCUGGGACUGGAUGGCUUGAGUGCAGGAGAGGAACGCGGAAUUCCAGGUGUAGCGGUGAAAUGCGUAGAUAUCUGGAGGAACACCGGUGGCGAAGGCGGCGUUCUGGGCUGCAACUGACGCUGAGGAACGAAAGCCAGGGGAGCAAACAGG
rnacentral:rRNA from 1 species